UAGCCAUGAUGCGGGCAAGCAUUUAAAAGAUCCUUGAAUCUUUCCCAGCAUUAAAAGGUUUCUUCAUCUUUAUAUGAGAAGUUCAUGAUCACCCUUCUAAGGGU